rnacentral:rRNA from 1 species
CGGAUGGGCCCUCGAAAUCCUGUGGCGGAAGGAUUCAGUCGGAAGGAGAGGCCGCGCGCGCCGUACUCAGUUGGUUCCGCGACCGGACCGUUCGGAGUGCGCGCAGCCCUUCCAGACGACGCAUUUGUUUUCCGUCCGAAGGACGCCGCAACCGGUUGGGGGACGGCCUGAAAGUGGAGCGACGGCAGGUGGCCGACGGCACGCCUCAUGCGCGCUGACGGUGUUUACAGCCAGCUCUUCGCACGGCUCGUACCCCGACCGUGGUGACGCGAAGCCCGCUCAAUGGGUCUUCACCGCCUCCUCUCGUAAAAAGACGCGCACUGAGCGCGGCAGUGACUCUUCGAGGCGGCAGGCGCACAGGAUGACCUUGUGGCCAGCUGCGCGGAGUCCAUGGUGGCCGCGGAAUGAUGCGUUGGGAGCUGGUGGUUGGCGGCGAGUAGAUCGGUCACCCAUCCGACCCGUCUUGAAACACGGACCAAGGAGUCUAACAUGUGUGCGAGUCAAUGGGACUCGAAUAAGCCCAGAGGCGCAAUGAAAGCAAAGGCCGGGUCGAAGCGCCCGGCCGUGUUGGGAUCCCCGGGCCUGCGAGCUCGGGGCGCACCAACGACCCGUCCUGUCCGAUUUAUCGGUUGGGCGGAGUCUGAGCACACACGUUGGGACCCGAAAGAUGGUGACCUAUGCCCGGGCAGGACGAGGCCAGAGGAAACUCUGGUGGAGGUCCGCAGCGGUUCUGACGUGCAAAUCGAUCGUCAGACCCAGGUAUAGGGGCG